UCUUCGCUGCCCGGCUCGUGCCGGAUAAUUUUGCAUUCCCGGGGCCUUAAGCAUCCUUUAGGGAGCUGUCCCUGUUUAGACCCGUGGGUUUUUACAUACGGCGCCCACCUACGUAAGUAGGUUCCCAGGAUCAAAUACCUUCCGACGGCCAGGGCGGCACCUUA
rnacentral:other from 1 species